CCGGGAAACUGGGGAUAAGCUCCCAUAGGAGAUGGACGCUGGAAAGCCCCAUCUCCCAAAGUAUGUUGCUUUGCAGCAUAGCCUGAGGAUGGGUCCGCGGCCGAUUAGGUUGUUGUUGGUGUAAAGGACCAACAAGCCUGUGAUCGGUACGGGUGGUGAGAGCCAUAGCCCGGAGAUGGACUCUGAGACAUGAGUCCAGGCCCUACGGGGCGCAGCAGGCGCGAAAACUCCGCAAUGCGCGAAAGCGCGACGGGGGGACUCCGAGUGUUCCUGCUUUCGCAGGAGCUUUUGGGGAGUUUAAAAAGCUCCCUGAAUAAGGGCUGGGUAAGACCGGUGCCAGCCGCCGCGGUAAUACCGGCAGCCCGAGUGGUGGCCACUAUUAUUGGGCCUAAAGCGUCCGUAGCCGGUCUGGAAAGUCUCCACUUAAAUCUCCAGACUUAAUCUGGAGGUUGGUGGAGAUACUUUCAGACUAGGGGCCGGGAGACGCAGGAGGUACUCCCGGGGUAGGGGUGAAAUCCUAUAAUCCCGGGGGGACCACCGGUGGCAAAGGCGUCCUGCGAGAACGGGCCCGACGGUGAUGGACGAAAGCCAGGGGCGCGAACGGGAUUAGAUACCCCGGUAGUCCUGGCUGUAAACGCUGCGGGCUAGGUGCUACAUCUCCUACAGGGGGGUGUAGUGCCGUAGAGAAGUCGUUAAGCCCGCCGCCUGGGAAGUACGCCCGCAAGGGUGAAACUUAAAGGAAUUGGCGGGGGAGCACCACAAGGGGUGGAGGCUGCGGUUCAAUUGGAUUCAACGCCGGG
rnacentral:rRNA from 1 species